ensembl:lincRNA
UAACUAUUGAUCCUGUUCUCUAGAGCCCAGGAGCCGCAACACUGAAUCCAUGUGCCACAAAUACUAAAGCUGGAGCUUUAGAGCUCCCUAGAGCCCAUGCUCCACAACAAGAGAACCCACUGCAAUGAGCAGCCACUUGCUGCAACCAGAGAAAAGCGCAUGCAGCAAUGAAGACCCAGCACAGCCAAAAAUAUAAGUAAAUAAAAUUAUUAAAAAGUAUUCCUUGUGCCAAUAUGAGGUAUCAAACAUGAUAUUAACCACUUUUAUGAAUUAGCGUGGUUGCUUUUCAUUCAAAUCCAAUCAGUUACAUUCAAUUUUCCUCCUUUUUUUCAGAUGUGAAGGCUGGGAUUCAAAGAUAUUGAGUACAUGACUUGUGAAGGACACUCUUAAGCUGAGAUCAUUCAACUUCCAAAGUACAGAGUAUAAUAAUGUAACGUUGUAACUUCUGACCUCCAUGAAGGUUGGCAGUGUACACCUGGCAUCAUGUUAAAUUUCCCAAUUCUGGGUCCAUCCCCAACAGAGAAUGCUGUGAUGAUCAUGAAUGUUUGUAUGGAGCCCUGUUGUACCUGAGCAUUCCCAGCCUGUAGUUUUUAGGUGUCUGUGAACUGUCACUGGACUGGCGUGGCAAAGAACAUUCUUACAGCAUCCUUCAGCCCCAGAGAGCAGAAGCUGAAGGACUCCUCCCCAGCUGUAGAAAGGCAAUUAUUUCUAAACCAGCCCACUCAUGUUAAACUCUUGUAUGAACAUAAUGAAUGACAAAGGAGUUUGAAUCAUCUACAGUGCAUCUGUGGAAUUUGAGGAAACUUUGCCACAAGAUAGAUCAGACAAAGCCAACCAGCAUCCCUGAUGGAAAGUGAUUUCUGCUUUAAUUGAAACGAACGCUAUGAACAGCUGCCAGAUGAAUGGAGGUUCAGCAUCUGCUCCACCUUCAUCUCAAGGGAAGUUCUGAAGUUCUCUGAGUUCACAGAUUCUUUCGUCUCUGCACCCAUACUGGGUGAGCUGUCUCUGUUAAAAGUCAAGAAGUGUGUGGGUCAUUUUGACUCAGAGAAACUCCUUAAUUUUCCAGCAAUUAUGUAUAUCUCUAUUUACAGAGGCUCAGGGCAUGUGUGCCCCAUUUCAGCUGCCCUAAUCCAGAUGUAGUUCCACACAGCAGAUGAGGCAGACUCAACAUUCCACAUUUAUCUUAACUUUGUAGUUUCCAAGGAAACGGUGCAGCAAGAAGACAGACACUGAGUUCUCAGUUCUGUAUCAGCCCAGUGUUACACACUAUUAGCACAUCAAAGUAAUACUGCGCAAUGUUGGCACCUAGUAGGUAUUCAGGAAAUGCCAGGAAGAAAGAGUGAAUGUGUGAAUGAAUGGAAAUGCCAAUAAAUACGGUUGACUUGGUUGUUAUUGUUUCACAGUAACCAAACUCAAGGAACUGAUUUAUAAAUCGAUUAAUAUAUCAUCAAUAAUGCUUCUGGCAGAUACUCAGCUCUGGGUAUCUGCACAGGAUAUUCUUGCUUGCUCUCUAUAUUAAUCAAGGAAAUCAGUUUCUAAAUCAGAAGGUCUCUAGGUGACCAGGAAACUAGAGCAAAUAACAAUAGCAACAACAACAAGAAUACUCUUCAUGGAUCAUUCUUACCAAUUUUAAAAGUCUAGUGAAUUUCCUUUUACAUUUCUAAGUAGGUAAUCAUGAUCUAUAAAUGAACUAUAUCCUUCCCAUGAACAAUAUUUGAGUAUUUUGGCAAUUUUUUUUAUUCUUGAAUCCCUUGUUUUAUUUAUAAAAACUUAGUUACUAGUCAUUUACUCAGCAAAUCACUAUUGAAUUCUUUUGGUAAAUGAGGCAUUAUGCUAGACCCUGAGGAUACAGUGAUUGGC